ACGCUGGCGGCACGCCUAACACAUGCAAGUCGAACGAAGUAGCAAUACUUAGUGGCAGACGGGUGAGUAACAUGUAGGUAUCUGCCCUUUGGCCUGGAAUAACACGAGGAAACUUGUGCUAAUACCGGAUAAGUCUUUACGGAGAAAGCUUUAUGCACCAUUGGAUGAGCCUGCACUUGAUUAGUUUGUUGGUGGGGUAAUGGCCUACCAAGACUGUGAUCAAUAGCUGAUUUGAGAGGAUGAUCAGCCACAUUGGGACUGAGACACGGCCCAAACUCCUACGGGAGGCAGCAGUGGGGAAUCUUGCACAAUGGAGGAAACUCUGAUGCAGCGAUGCCGCGUGAGUGAAGAAGGCCUUUGGGUUGUAAAGCUCUUUCGUCGGGGAAGAAAAUGACUGUACCCGAAUAAGAAGGUCCGGCUAACUUCGUGCCAGCAGCCGCGGUAAUACGAAGGGACCUAGCGUAGUUCGGAAUUGCUGGGCUUAAAGAGUUCGUAGGUGGUUGAAAAAGUUAGUGGUGAAAUCCCAGAGCUUAACUCUGGAACUGCCAUUAAAACUUUUCAGCUAGAGUAUGAUAGAGGAAAGCAGAAUUUCUAGUGUAGAGGUGAAAUUCGUAGAUAUUAGAAAGAAUACCAAUUGCGAAGGCAGCUUUCUGGAUCAUUACUGACACUGAGGAACGAAAGCAUGGGUAGCGAAGAGGAUUAGAUACCCUCGUAGUCCAUGCCGUAAACGAUGUGUGUUAGACGUUGGAAAUUUAUUUUCAGUGUCGCAGCGAAAGCGAUAAACACACCGCCUGGGGAGUACGACCGCAAGGUUAAAACUCAAAUGAAUUGACGGGGACCCGCACAAGUAGUGGAGCAUGUGGUUUAAUUCGAAGAUACGCGCAGAACCUUACCAACACUUGACAUGUUCGUCGCGACUCUAAGAGAUUAGAGUUUUCGGUUCGGCCGGACGAAACACAGGUGCUGCAUGGCUGUCGUCAGCUCGUGUCGUGAGAUGUUGGGUUAAGUCCCGCAACGAGCGCAACCCUCACUUUUAGUUGCCAUCAUUAAGUUGGGCACUCUGAAAGAACUGCCAGUGAUAAGCUGGAGGAAGGUGGGGAUGACGUCAAGUCCUCAUGGCCCUUACGUGUUGGGCUACACACGUGCUACAAUGGUAUCUACAACAGGAAGCAAGACUGCGAAGUUAAGCAAAUCCCUAAAAGAUACCUCAGUUCGGAUUGCACUCUGCAACUCGAGUGCAUGAAGCUGGAAUUACUAGUAAUCGUGGAUCAGCGUGCCACGGUGAAUGCGUUCCCGGGUCUUGUACACACCGC
rnacentral:rRNA from 1 species